rnacentral:rRNA from 1 species
UCUUAGAUUGACUGAGCGGCGGACGGGUGAGUAACGCGUGGAUAACCUGCCUCACACAGGGGGAUAACAGUUAGAAAUGACUGCUAAUACCGCAUAAGCGCACGGCAUCGCAUGAUGCAGUGUGAAAAACUCCGGUGGUGUGAGAUGGACCCGCGUCUGAUUAGCUAGUUGGCAGGGCAACGGCCUACCAAGGCGACGAUCAGUAGCCGACCUGAGAGGGUGACCGGCCACAUUGGGACUGAGAUACGGCCCAAACUCC